GGCCUGUAGAUUAUAAUUUAAGGUCAGACCUGCCCACUGAGUAAUUAAAUGGCCGCGGUAUUUUGACCGUGCAAAGGUAGCAUAAUCAUUAGUUUUUUAAUUGAGAGCUUGUAUGAAAGGUUUGAUGAGAAAAACUCUGUCUCUGUAAAAUUUUAUUAGAAUUUUAUUUUUAAGUUAAAAAGCUUGAAUAUUAAAUAGAAGACGAGAAGACCCUAUAGAGUUUUAUAUUUAAAUUAAAUAAGGAGUUUUUGGAAUUAAAAAUUUUAAUUUUGUUUAAGUAUUUUGUUGGGGUGAUAAAAAAAUUUGUUAAACUUUUUUUGUACUGUUACAUUAAUUUAUGAGUAAUUGAUCCUAAAGUUUAGAUUAUAAGAUAAAAUUACCUUAGGGAUAACAGCGUAAUUUUUUUAAGAGUUCUUAUCGAAAAAAAAGAUUGCGACCUCGAUGUUGGAUUAAAAUUAAUUAUUGGUGUAGAAGCUAAUAUAUUAGGUCUGUUCGACCUUUAAAAUUUUACAUGAUCUGAGUUUAGACCGGCGUGAG
rnacentral:rRNA from 1 species